GAGCACCAAUUAUGCUAAUAAAUUGGCACGUUAGCACGUUAUUGCAAUAUCCCAUAGUACAUACAUGUUAUUAAAACUUGAACUAAUGCAUUGUGAGUCUUAUAAAUUGCUUACAUACCUCACCGAUUUCCCACUGUCUGGAAAACGCUCGGUUUAGUUCCUGUCUCCGCCUCCCAAAAUGUCUAGUGUAAUCGGAUUGGUCAGAUGACUACUCAACUGUUAUUGGUCAGCUGGGUUCAGCGUGUGUUUGAAAGGUUACGCCCCUGACUACGCGUGGGUUGACACAGAUUCUGACUGAGAGUCACAGCCUCAGAGGCAACGUAAACAAGCGUUAUAUUUCUCUAUAAACGAUGGUGUCUGUACUGCCUUACCACUUCGAGCUCGAUCCAGAGAGUUCAGAAGGCCGUUACGAUAUAAACGAUCUCCGUCAAUGAAUGCGAUUGGAUUUAACUUUUUUAGGUGUCCUUAGCUCUGCCAGAAUGCUAAACGAAGACGAAAAUGUGUUGCAAAGACAUCCAAAAGGUUUUAAGGAGAAUGCAACAGGUUCCAGGGCCUCUUACCUGCGUGAUUCAUCAUCCAGAUACGCUUGGAGCUUCCUGAUCGGAAUGUUGGCUUCCGACGACCCCUGCACUGAAGAUGGCAUGCAAUCACGUCCUCCUUUGAAGGUCUCUCAAACUGUGAUGCCAGGUCCAUUGGAAUCGGG